AGCAUGUUAGCUCAGGGGAAGAGCGUAUGUUUAUCACGUGACCUGUCAAAAAUUGAGUUGUAAACUAACAUAUUCACAGGCCGGGCUCAUAACCCGGAGGUCCCUGGAUCGAAACCAGGACAUGCUA
rnacentral:tRNA from 1 species